rnacentral:lncRNA from 1 species
UGAACUCCAGGCUGGGCGACAGAGUGAGACUCUGUCUCAAAAAAAAAGAAAGAAAGAGUCAGCUGAGUUGGGGGUAGCGUUCUGGGAAAGGUUCUCAAAAUGAGGCACACAAGAGAUAUCCCCUUUUUCUACCAGAAGUUGUCGUGUCUUGGUGUGAGGGCUUGUGGCCUGGGACUGUGGCAGCCAUUCUUUCACCAUGAGGGGAUCCACCUGAGAAUGCAGCUUACAUUCUGAAGAUGGCAGAGUAGGAAGAACCUGGAAGCUGUUGAGCUGUGAAUUAUCCAACCCUGGAGCACCCUGCCUGAAGCCCUUUUCUUAGAUCUCCCUCAUGCUGGGGUGGGCAGGAAGCGAAGAACACAGGAAGGAGGGAGUCAGAGGCUGAUGGCAGUUCCUGCUUCUCCAGUUUUAAGACCAAGACCCAGUUUCAGGCCUAUCAAUGUCAAGGGGAAAGGCUUCCUUGCAAUGAGGAGUAGGCACAUGGUCCAGUUCUGUCCAAAGAAAACUAAGCAGAGGUUUCUGGGGGAGACCUGCAUAAAAGCAUUAUUUUUCUGAAAGAAGGAGACAGCAUGGCUGGGCCCCAUCCUCCCUACCUCCUGCCUGAAGUGUGGGUAUACUCUCUGGAGCCCAGCCAGGUAUCUUCUUUCAGAGCCCAUCUCCUGCCAAAAUAUGGAAAAACAGAGGGUCAAGAGUUCAGUCUGGAGGGCUGGGCAGGCUGGCUGGGGUCCAAGAGAGGGGAACGGUCCACCCUGGGCACCUGUCCAGAGGAUGGGCUGCUUCUCACCUAGACCAAAGGAACCACUUGUCACCUGGAGUGGAUUGAAGAAGGGUUGUCCCCUCCCAAGAACUUAUUCGAUGACUCCUGUCUGCUGGCCCCAACAUUGACAUCUGGAGGGCUGGAAGAUGGACUGUCUCUGCUAUGGAAUCCUGGUGGCCAGCAUUUUCCCCACGUCUUCUGGGUUUCCCUUUGUACCCAGCUCCUCCUAUUGUAACUGAAAGAUAGUAGAUAAUCAAAAUAAUCUUGGAUGGUUGGGUGGAUAGGUAAGGGCUGAAUGAAUGAAUGAAUGGAAAAUACAGCUAUUAAGAGGCUAUCUUUCACACAUGUGAGCUGACGGCAACCCUGUGAGGUCACAGGCUAGGUGUUACUAUGCCCAUUUAACAGAGAAGGAAACCGAGGUUCUGUAAAGCUAAUUGACUUUCCCAAGGUCACAAGACUUGGAAGAGGUGAAGCUAUGGCCCAAACCAACACUGCUUCAAGACCUGGGCACAGGCCCCUCCUGCCUCACCUCCCUGGACAUCACCUCCAGUCCAUACUAGACCCAAUAUAUAGGCAAAGAACCUGCCGUCAUCUCAGCAAAUCAUGAAAGGAACUUUCAUGAUUUGAUGUGCAACCUUUGCAAAUCAAAUGAUACGGGUCUGGGAAGCUGCCAGGAACAGCCUCUCAUCCACAUCCCCCAGUUCUGCUCUUGGGACUGCCAAGAACACGUCACUUCCUUAACAGUACAUAUUUGUAGAAUGAAUGAGUUCUCAGUACAUAUUUGUAGAAUGCAUGAGUUGCCCUGCAUCGGUACAAAUUCCUCAACAAAAGUCAUAGGCUACAAAAUCCCGGAAAUGCAGGUACGAUUGACAUCACGUUUCCUAGCUUUGCAAUAGAAUGCAAUGUGCAUUCUGGUGGCCAAAUGAGCCUCCUGCUGUGCUACACAAGCCCAUGAUAUUCAUCACCACCAUCAUGAAGGAUCAGUUAUCAGGCACACUUGCUGUGUGCCACUCACUAUUCCAAGCAUGCUAUGUGAAUGUUCUCAUUUAAACUUCACAACCAACCCAGUGGUCUGGGUAAUACUGCUAUCCUCAUUUUAUGGUUGAGGAAUUUAAGGUUCAGAGAGGUUAAGUAACUUGAUCAAAGCCACACAGUCAGAGGUAUCAGAGUCAGGUAUAAACCCAAGUUUUUGUUUUGUUUUUUGUUUUGUUUUGUUUUUUACCUCCAAUAAGAGAGGAGGUGGCAGGGAAGUCUUGUGUGGGAUGGCUCUUGGGGGACAAAUGCCCCCUCUGUAAUCUGUAUGGAGGGUGGUCCAGUCCGAGAGCUGACAGGAGAAGAGAGAGCUGCUGCUCAGGGAGGCAGAAGUGGGCGGGGACCUCUUGUUUGGGCAAGCCUUUCCUUGUCCCGUGCCAGGCUCAGCCCUAGCAGGCUCACCCAGUGGACAUGACUGUUU